rnacentral:rRNA from 1 species
GAUGAACGCUGGCGGCGUGCCUAAUACAUGCAAGUCGAGCGAACAGACGAGGAGCUUGCUCCUCUGACGUUAGCGGCGGACGGGUGAGUAACACGUGGAUAACCUACCUAUAAGACUGGGAUAACUUCGGGAAACCGGAGCUAAUACCGGAUAAUAUAUUGAACCGCAUGGUUCAAUAGUGAAAGACGGUUUUGCUGUCACUUAUAGAUGGAUCCGCGCCGCAUUAGCUAGUUGGUAAGGUAACGGCUUACCAAGGCAACGAUGCGUAGCCGACCUGAGAGGGUGAUCGGCCACACUGGAACUGAGACACGGUCCAGACUCCUACGGGAGGCAGCAGUAGGGAAUCUUCCGCAAUGGGCGAAAGCCUGACGGAGCAACGCCGCGUGAGUGAUGAAGGUCUUCGGAUCGUAAAACUCUGUUAUUAGGGAAGAACAAAUGUGUAAGUAACUAUGCACGGCUUGACGGUACCUGAUCAGAAAGCCACGGCUAACUACGUG